GCGUUCUUAGUUUAGUUGGUGGAACGUAGGUCUCCAAAACCUGAUGUCGUAGGUUCGAGUCCUACAGAGCGCG
rnacentral:tRNA from 1 species